GGAUCAAACAUCGGAUUGAGAUGCUUUUACCAUCGGCUCAUCGCUGGGCCUGGGCUGGUGUUUCCUUUAUUGCUGCACAAAAUUUCAACGUCGUCAUUACUCAAAAACGGUGCAAACACUCGUCGUUUUAUUUCUUCACUUCAACCAUCCAUUUCCCCCUCCCUCCGGGACUCGUUCCUGCAGAAAAACCCUAUCGAAACCAAACAUCUCUGCCAAUCAAACCAUUCCACAGAAGAUGAAAUUCCGGUUCUCCCAUAAAGUCCCUAUUUUCCCUCAUAAUUUACGAUUCAACCAGCACCAUUGUCAACGCCAAUUCUUUACCUCGUUUCUUAAAAAGGUCCAAAAAGUGUCUCAAGCUCGUGCUUCCUUCAAUGGCAACGGUAGUAGCAGCUCCCAAGGCCAAGGUAGUACUUUUCUGUUGCCUGGUGCAACUGUGGCUACUCUACUCAUGCUUGGUGCCCUUCAUGCACGUCGUCUCUAUGAUGACAAAAAGACUGAAGAGGCACAGGAAAAAGGAAUUGAAUUAGAGUUUCAACCAGAUGUAAAGGCUACAUUUCUGAGGAUGAUUCCUUUACGCUCCAUUUCUAGAUUUUGGGGUUCCUUGACAGGCAUUGAACUUCCCAUAUGGCUUCGUCCAUAUGUCUACAGAGCAUGGGCUCGGGCAUUCCAUUCAAACCUAGAAGAAGCAGCUCUGCCUCUUGACAAUUAUGCUUCUUUGAAGGAAUUUUUUGUCCGUGCCUUGAAAGAAGGCACCAGGCCUAUAGACCCUGAUCCAUGUUGCCUGGUUAGUCCAGUGGAUGGCACUAUACUAAGAUUCGGAGAGUUAAAAGGAUCAGGAGCUAUGAUUGAGCAGGUCAAAGGUCUUUCCUACUCUGUUUCUUCUCUUCUUGGUGCUAGUUCCUUCCUUCCUAUGAUAGCUGAUGGGGAUGUCCAAGAAAAGAGUAGUGAACAACAAAGCAAUCUUCGAGAAAACAGUAAGAAGUCAUGGUGGAGAUUUUCAUUGGCUUCUCCUAAAGUCAGGGACACUGUGUCAGCACGUCCAACAAAGGGCCUUUACUAUUGUGUGAUAUACUUGAGGCCUGGUGACUAUCAUCGCAUACACUCACCAGUUGAAUGGAAUGUCCUUGUCCGCCGGCAUUUUGCAGGGCACUUAUUUCCUCUAAAUGAACGUGCUACAAGAACAAUCAGGAAUCUUUAUGUUGAAAAUGAAAGGGUUGUACUUGAAGGUUUAUGGGAAGAAGGAUUCAUGGCUAUUGCUGCCAUUGGUGCUACAAAUAUUGGGUCAAUUAAGCUUUUCAUUGAACCAGAAUUUCGUACAAACCUGCCAAGGAAAAAGCUAGUGAAUUCUGAGCCUCCAGAAGAACAGGUAUAUGAACCUGAGGGCAUUGGUAAAAUACUGAAGAAAGGGGAUGAGGUGGCUGCUUUCAAUAUGGGAUCGACAGUAGUGCUUGUCUUUCAGGCUCCCACAUUAAAGCCGCUCAAAGACAGGGACGACUCUUCUUCAGAGUUCAGGUUCAAUAUUAGGCGUGGAGAUAGAGUCCGUGUAGGAGAAGCACUGGGGAGGUGGCACAAUUUGUAGAAACAAGGAUAACGUGCGCGCUAUAUGCUAAUGCUACACUGAAAGAUUUCUGCUGAGAUCAACAAUAGUUCACCCAUAAGAAUGAUUCUCGUUUUGUAGCGCAUGUUUGCGAAUUGGCUGAGGUUCUUCGCUCAAACCUAAUCUAUACAAGGGGACAAAAUGGAAAUUGCAAUUGCUACCUAACAAUGGAGAAGCUUAUACAAACCUACGCCACAAAGCACUCUUGCAUUUUCGACAGUUUUCAGUGCCAAACGAGUACCCCGAGUUUUGAAAUAUGUUGCUAACAGAUAAUCUGUCACAACCAAAUCAUGUCAUGGAAUUUUAAACUAAAUGUGUUUCUUGUUUGGCAAAAUGCAUUAUUUGGUCUCUAAAAAUUACUAGUUUUGUCUAUUGAA